rnacentral:tRNA from 2 species
GUUUCGGUAGCUCAGUGGUAGAGCGAGAGAUUGCAGUAUUCGCAUCGCAGCUAUCUCUAGGUCACGUGUUCGAACCACGUCCGGAACU